UUUGAGGAGGAAAACACUGGGUCACCUCAUGAAAAAGAGAAAGAUGAUAUAAUGAACCCACUCCUAUCCUUACAUGUGGACCUAGAAGUAAAACCACCACUAACCACUAUAAAAACUGGUGUGAUUAAACACAGAAGACUCAGAUUCACAAUCCAGUCCAAACUGCUGGAAACGCUCUGUGAUACUGUCAAAUGAAGCCCAGAAGGAGAAAGUUUAACUGGUCAGAGCUUUCAAAGAUGAGCGCAGAGCAGCUCUUGAUUCCCGACACAAAUACCUCAUCUCUGUCAUUGCAGAGGCGAUCAGCCUGGCAGACAUGGAAGUCGAGGGAGCUAUGAUCGCGGAUGAUAAGGGGGAGCUUUUGAGACCUACCUGAUCUCGGACCCCCUUAUAUGCUAAUUGACCAGACGGGAGCCCUGGGCUCAAUUAUCUCCAAGCUCAGGGUUCUCUCCCAGGACAGCAUGCCAAACCUGCAAAUAAAGU